CACGUCCUGUGAGGGUCCCACCAUGGCCUGGAUGGUGCUGCUUCUCGGGGUCCUCGCUUACAGCUCAGGGGCAGAUUCUCAGACUGUGGUGACCCAGGAGCCGGCACUGUCAGUGUCUCCAGGAGGGACGGUCACACUCACCUGUGGCCUUGGCUCCGGCUCAGUGUCGACAAGUAACUACCCCAGCUGGUUCCAGCAGACCCCAGGCCGGGCUCCCCGCACGCUGAUCUACAACACGAACAACCGCCCCUCGGGCGUCCCUGGCCGCUUCUCCGGAUCCAUCUCUGGGAGCAAAGCCGCCCUCAGCAUCACAGGGGCCCAGCCCGAGGACGACGCCGAGUAUUUCUGUGCUCUGGUCAUGGGUGGUGAUUCCGCCGACAGACAUGUCGCCACUUGUUAG